ACGCUGCGCAGGCUUAACACAUGCAAGUCGAGCGGGCCUUCGGGGUCAGCGGCGGACGGGUGAGUAACGCGUGGGAACGUGCCUUCUGGUCUGGAAUAACCCUGGGAAACUAGGGCUAAUACCGGAUACGCCCUUUUGGGGAAAGGUUUACUGCCGGAAGAUCGGCCCGCGUCUGAUUAGCUAGUUGGUGGGGUAACGGCCUACCAAGGCGACGAUCAGUAGCUGGUCUGAGAGGAUGAUCAGCCACACUGGGACUGAGACACGGCCCAGACUCCUACGGGAGGCAGCAGUGGGGAAUAUUGGACAAUGGGCGCAAGCCUGAUCCAGCCAUGCCGCGUGAGUGAUGAAGGCCUUAGGGUUGUAAAGCUCUUUUAUCCGGGACGAUAAUACGAACCGGA
rnacentral:rRNA from 1 species